UACGUAGGGGGCAAGCGUUGUCCGGAUUUACUGGGCGUAAAGAGCGUGUAGGCGGCUUGGUAGGUCCGCUGUGAAAACUCGAGGCUCAACCUCGAGAUGUCGGCGGAAACCACUUGGCUAGAGUCCGGAAGAGGAGAGUGGAAUUCCCGGUGUAGCGGUGAAAUGCGCAGAGUAUCGGGAAGAACACCUAUGGCGAAGGCGGUUCUCUGGGCAUGUCCUGACGCUGAGGAGCGAAAGUGUGGGGAGCGAACAGG
rnacentral:rRNA from 1 species